CUCCCCAGCCGCGGGAGCCCGCCCCCGCUGCGGGUCGCCGGGAGCCUCCCCUGCCGCCCCCUUCGCCGCCUCCCCAGCCGCAGCUUGGCCGCUGCCACACCGCCUCCGCCACGCCGCCACUCCGCGGGCCACGCCUCGAUUCCUUCAUCCUCUUCCCGAGCCGCUGGCGUCCGUCACGCGCCCCCUACUCUUCUCCUCCAACCUGGCCAGUCCCCACACCCGGAGCCCCUGCGGAUCGAGGCGUCUUCCACGCAGAGGACGACGCGGGGAACCUCCAUUGCCCUCCAUUCUGACGGCCGCCCUACAGCUGCCCCGACACGAUGGUUCUCCUCUAUUGUUCUGAUCGAGCGACGUGUUCAUUUUUUAUAUUUUUUCUGUGGCAGAUCAUGACGACGACCCUGACAGGAGAGGAGGAGGAGGACACGGAGAAGAAGGACCGAGAGUUAGACAUGGAUGUGCAUUAUGAGGCAACACGCCGCCGUGUUUGCCCCACCAUCUUCUGAUCUCUUCAGCAUUCCUGUUGUCUUGGGUUUUCUCUGUAAGUUUGGGUCCGUAGGCACACACCCUCAUAAUCUCUGUCGCUCCCUCUAAUUUCUGUGGACAUACAGACACACGCAGUGUUUAGAACGAUGUCCGCUUCAGAGUUUCAGUUCAACUCACCCAGACAGAAAUACAUUCUAUCACUGGCUAAGCAUAGUACGAACUGGGUGGACAUGGAGUCAAGGACAUGGUAAGGAAGUCAAGCAAGUGGUUGAUUUGCUCUCUUCUUCGUUUCACCAUGCUGCACCCCUUCUAGCUUAUUAGUCGCCUCUUUCAUCUCUUUUCACUGUACUAACCUGCCAAUAUUUUCCCAUCUUUGCAACGAUUGACAUGUUUAGUUUUAGUUUUACAGUAGACCAGAAUGUAUGCUGAUCUACAGUGAUUCUUAAUUGUACAUGGUCUUCUCAACUUCAAGGUCAUAACCGAUUCAGUUUUGUUUAUAAUCUAUUUUCCCUAUCACUUUUUAACUCUUGAAUUCGCCAGGCCAACCAUCCUACAGUAGUGUAGGAAUUCAGUUAGCACGUCAUAACAUGUUAUUCUCUUUCGAUAAUGCUUUUGUUGGAUUUUUUAGGAACAAGGUGGCGAAAAAAUAAGUGGUUGUGGAAGCAAUGGUUUGUUUGGGGAGGUGGAGAACGUUUUUAUGUUAUUUUUGGUAGGCAUGAAGACACCCAUUUCUAUUUGUUCAUAGUAAUUCACUCCAGGCUUCUGAUUGGAUCAUUACAUUGAUGUUCCAGCUGCUGGGCUACAUGGAGUUGUUUUUGUUUAAAACAUAUGAUCUUGACGCUACCCAUUUUUCCCUGUCAACAUUAGCUUUCUCUCUGCCAUUCAGAAUUGUUCAGGACAAAACCAUGCAGAUAUAGACCUUUAGUAUCCUUCUCAUUGAUGAAAUUUAUUUCCAUCUAUCCAGUAGGUUCACUGAAGGGGAGCCUUGGCGCAGUGGUAAAGCUGCUGCCUUGUGACCAUGAGGUCACGGGUUCAAGUCCUGGAAACAGCCUCUUGCAGAAAUGUAGGGAAAGACUGCGUACAAUAGACCCAAAGUGGUCGGACCCUUCCCCAGACCCUGCGCAAGCGGGAGCUACAUGCACUGGGGCUGCCCCUUUUUUUUAUCCAGUAGGUUCACUAUAACAGCUAGAUUACUUUUAAUGUAAUUAUGAUUAUUCCACUUUUAAUGUAAUUUAUAGAGCUGACGGGCAAAAGUUGUGCAUGUUUUAAUUAGUUACAAAAGAUAUAGUUGGAACUAAUAAAAUCAUGUUCAUUAUUUGGUAGCUAAGUCAGAACUCGGAGUCGGGACAACUCAACAAGGGAACGAGGAGCCUCAAGGGAGAUACCUGCAUAACACUGGAUGCAGUGAAGAAGGAAUCAGAAAUAUUCUUAUGUUUUAGUGGCGGAAUGGCAAGGCGGCCGGUUAGAUAACCUGGGUCCGUGGCGAGUUGGUGGCUCUCGACUACAAGAAGAUCAUUGAGGCAAUCGAUAGUAGGUUGGUAAAUUGCUAACAAAACAUGUUUAGAACUAUAAAAUUGGCUUUGUUCUGCUAUUUAUUUAUGUUUUGACUAAAAGUAGCAAUUUAUGCUUCCGUAUUAAGAUUUCAACAAGAAUCUAUAAAGGGCUCUAAGGGAGUAGAGGAAUCAAAAGAAAACACCUGGCAGUGCAAAGUGCACUUAGGCAGUAAGGUCAACACAAGACUACUCAUGAAACGAUACACAUACGAACUCCCGGACAUUGCAUACCGGGGAGCUUUCUUCUAUUUAGGAUUUAAGGUACUCGAUCAUUUGUUCUAAGUUCAGUAUUAAGUUAAUUUUUGUUCUGAAUGAUUACAAACACAAUACAUGUUGGUCUAAGAAAAGACUUUUUUAAUUUGUAAUCCCUGUGUAAUACCAAUCGAUUUUGUUUUUUGCACAUCUAGGCUGAUAAUAUGCUCACGAAAAGACAGGAAUGCAGCACCACUCCAAUCUUUAGAAGGUCCCCACCCUGUUCUGGUAUGUUUAUGCUUAUGCAUCUACAGAAUUAUUCGAUGUUAUAUUGAUGUGUGAAUGGUGUAUCGUCCCUGUUCUGGUAUGAAAAUCGGGUUGCUAGGAAUAAUCUCCAUCAUUCCUGGGUUGUGCAUAUGUGUUGUUCUAUAUUCCCCUCUUUAUAAUGCUAUGUGUUGUGGUCAACGCUCCCAAGCUAUGAUAGCUCGCUGCUGGUAGGUUGCCGCCCUGGCCCUCACAUGCUACCAGCAUGUGUUACUGUACAUUUUGCUUUCUUACAUGUCUUGAAUUAUAUUUCAAGAAAGAUGACUAUGAUUUAUAAGCACACGAACACAUCACAAUGUCACAUGGUAAUGCCAUGGUGAUGGCAAUCUAGGGUCAUUUCUGUUAGAGAAGCCCCCUACCCCCUAGCCCCAGAUAUGCAAAUUCUGAGCGUCACCACGAAUAAGUGCAGAGGAAUAGUGGGUAGACCGCAAACCCUAAAUUUCUAGCAAUUCUGAAUACAUUCAUGUGCCAAUGAGGUGUCCAUGUAAUCAUGAUGUUAUAUUAGAUUUUUUAUGUUGUUAUUUCUUACCCUGGUAGUACAACUAUGUAUACAAAACUCCAACACUGC
rnacentral:lncRNA from 1 species